CUGUUCUCUGUCUCAGGCCCAAAGCGGCGUCCCACGUUAUCCGGCUCUCCGUAGUAGAGUCACGAAGUCAAAGUCUUCCUUACUGAACCAGUUCAUGACGGUAUCGAUGUUCUCCCUCCACUCCGUCUCGUUGCUAUCCGGGUCGGUGUACGGCUCCACCAGGGACCGCUGGAUGGCCUCCCCUUUGUACUUGGCGCCUCCCCCGGGAUAGUGGAAUGACGCUGUUUUCCUCCCCUGCAAGUGCAAGAAGAAAAGUCUGUCAGGGCCAUUUCUCCUAUCUUUCUCAUAAUGUGCAAAGUCCAAUGUGUCAGCAUCCCUGCCCCAGUCCAAAGGCGUGGAAAACAUGUGGCUUCAGAGUCAGACAGGAUUGGGCUUCGUUCCUGGCAUCACCAGGCUCUCGUGGAAUCUAAAACACCGUUAAUUGUGAGACCUGCCGUUAUGUUAUGUGCUCCUACGAAGAAAAAUGCUGCCUAUGAAACCACGACACUCCAGUGACUGGCAUAUGCGUUCCAAUUUGGGACGGCAAAAUGAAGAAAACAGUUCCUCAGAAUGGAAGAAAAAUGGCACUUUCUAAGUUGGUGAUGACCUAAGAAGCCACCACAAGCCUUCCCUGGUGUGUGCAGUGGACAGCUAUUAUGAUUGCCUGCCCAGCACCCCCUCCCCCGUCUGCUGGUUUGGAACAUCUGACAUCCCCUGGUGGCUCUCCUCCCUACUCUUGCUCCAUGCAAGAUGUGUUGGGUCUACAUCAGGCUCCAGAGUUGAUCAAAGUUCACAUUGAUAAUUCUGCCCCAGCUCCGCUGUGGAUCAGAACACCUGGAGCGUAACGAGCUGGCACGUUCGACGUGAUGGAAAAGUUCUGGAGGUGGAUGGUGGUGGCGGCUGCACAGCACUGUGAAUGCACUUAAUGCCGCUGCACGGUGCACUUUAAGACGGUCAGAAACUUGGUUCUGUAUAAAGAAAGGAAGAACAUCAAAGAAGGAAUAAGUAAAGGCAGUGUCUGCAGUCCCCCAGCCCUCCCCCUCCCAACCUAAGACCCACGAGCCAUGAGCUGGAAUCACGAGGUGCCAUGAUCAGAGCUGCAGGUGAGCAACAGGUGGGACUACAGGAACAGAGCAACACCCUUGAUGCUUCUUCGCAAU